rnacentral:rRNA from 1 species
UACGGAGGGGGCUAGCGUUGUUCGGAAUUACUGGGCGUAAAGCGCGCGUAGGCGGACCUGCAAGUCGGGGGGUGAAAGCCCGAGGCUCAACCUCGGAACUGCCUUCGAUACUGCGGGUCUCGAGUCCGGGAGAGGUGAGUGGAAUUCCUAGUGUAGAGGUGAAAUUCGUAGAUAUUAGGAAGAACACCAGUGGCGAAGGCGGCUCACUGGCCCGGUACUGACGCUGAGGCGCGAAAAGCGUGGGGGAGCAAACAGGG